CUUAGGCGUGUGACUGCGUACCUUUUGUAUAAUGGGUCAGCGACUUAUAUUCUGUAGCAAGGUUAACCGAAUAGGGGAGCCGAAGGGAAACCGAGUCUUAACUGGGCGUUAAGUUGCAGGGUAUAGACCCGAAACCCGGUGAUCUAGCCAUGGGCAGGUUGAAGGUUGGGUAACACUAACUGGAGGACCGAACCGACUAAUGUUGAAAAAUUAGCGGAUGACUUGUGGCUGGGGGUGAAAGGCCAAUCAAACCGGGAGAUAGCUGGUUCUCCCCGAAAGCUAUUUAGGUAGCGCCUCGUGAAUUCAUCUCCGGGGGUAGAGCACUGUUUCGGCAAGGGGGUCAUCCCGACUUACCAACCCGAUGCAAACUGCGAAUACCGGAGAAUGUUAUCACGGGAGACACACGGCGGGUGCUAACGUCCGUCGUGAAGAGGGAAACAACCCAGACCGCCAGCUAAGGUCCCAAAGUCAUGGUUAAGUGGGAAACGAUGUGGGAAGGCCCAGACAGCCAGGAUGUUGGCUUAGAAGCAGCCAUCAUUUAAAGAAAGCGUAAUAGCUCACUGGUCGAGUCGGCCUGCGCGGAAGAUGUAACGGGGCUAAACCAUGCACCGAAGCUGCGGCAGCGACGCUGAUGCGUUGUUGGGUAGGGGAGCGUUC
rnacentral:rRNA from 1 species